rnacentral:rRNA from 1 species
GACGAACGCUGGCGGCGUGCUUAACACAUGCAAGUCGAACGGAAAGGCCCUGCUUUUGUGGGGUGCUCGAGUGGCGAACGGGUGAGUAACACGUGAGUAACCUGCCCUUGACUUUGGGAUAACUUCAGGAAACUGGGGCUAAUACCGGAUAGGAGCUCCUGCUGCAUGGUGGGGGUUGGAAAGUUUCGGCGGUUGGGGAUGGACUCGCGGCUUAUCAGCUUGUUGGUGGGGUAGUGGCUUACCAAGGCUUUGACGGGUAGCCGGCCUGAGAGGGUGACCGGCCACAUUGGGACUGAGAUACGGCCCAGACUCCUACGGGAGGCAGCAGUGGGGAAUAUUGCACAAUGGGCGGAAGCCUGAUGCAGCAACGCCGCGUGCGGGGUGACGGCCUUCGGGUUGUAAACCGCUUUCGCCUGUGACGAAGCGUGAGUGACGGUAAUGGGUAAAGAAGCACCGGCUAACUACGUGCCAGCAGCCGCGGUGAUACGUAGGGUGCGAGCGUUGUCCGGAUUUAUUGGGCGUAAAGGGCUCGUAGGUGGUUGAUCGCGUCGGAAGUGUAAUCUUGGGGCUUAACCCUGAGCGUGCUUUCGAUACGGGUUGACUUGAGGAAGGUAGGGGAGAAUGGAAUUCCUGGUGGAGCGGUGGAAUGCGCAGAUAUCAGGAGGAACACCAGUGGCGAAGGCGGUUCUCUGGGCCUUUCCUGACGCUGAGGAGCGAAAGCGUGGGGAGCGAACAGGCUUAGAUACCCUGGUAGUCCACGCUGUAAACGGUGGGUACUAGGUGUGGGGUCCAUUCCACGGGUUCCGUGCCGUAGCUAACGCUUUAAGUACCCCGCCUGGGGAGUACGGCCGCAAGGCUAAAACUCAAAGGAAUUGACGGGGCCCCGCACAAGCGGCGGAGCAUGCGGAUUAAUUCGAUGCAACGCGUAGAACCUUACCUGGGUUUGACAUGGAUCGGGAGUGCUCAGAGAUGGGUGUGCCUCUUUUGGGGUCGGUUCACAGGUGGUGCAUGGCUGUCGUCAGCUCGUGUCGUGAGAUGUUGGGUUAAGUCCCGCAACGAGCGCAACCCUUGUUCACUGUUGCCAGCACGUUAUGGUGGGGACUCAGUGGAGACCACCGGGGUCAACUCGGAGGAAGGUGGGGAUGACGUCAAGUCAUCAUGCCCCUUAUGUCCAGGGCUUCACGCAUGCUACAAUGGCUGGUACAGAGAGUGGCGAGCCUGUGAGGGUGAGCGAAUCUCGGAAAGCCGGUCUCAGUUCGGAUUGGGGUCUGCAACUCGACCUCAUGAAGUCGGAGUCGCUAGUAAUCGCAGAUCAGCAACGCUGCGGUGAAUACGUUCCCGGGGCU